AGGAUGAACGUUGGCGGCGUGCCUAACACAUGCAAGUUGAGCGUGGCUUAAGUUUACUUAAGUCUAGCAGCGGACGGCUGAGUAAUGCACAGGAACGUACCUCACGGUAGCGCAUAGCCCAUCGAAAGAUGGGGUAAUACGUUAUAGUCUCGCAAGAGUAAAGCCGCAAGGCGCCGAGAGAACGGCCUGUGUCCUAUCAGGUAGUUGGUGGGGUAAAUGCCUACCAAGCCUAUGACGGGUAGCUGGUCUUAGAGGAUGAUCAGCCAGAUCGGGACUGAGACACGGCCCGAACUCCUACGGGAGGCAGCAGUUGGGAAUCUUGCACAAUGGACGAAAGUCUGAUGCAGCGACGCCGCGUGGAGGAUGACGGCCUUCGGGUUGUAAACUCCUUUGCUAGGGAGCAAUUUUGAGAGUACCUAGCGAAUAAGCACCGGCUAACUCCGCGCCAGCAGCCGCGGUAA
rnacentral:rRNA from 1 species